CAACAAAGCGGCGCGAUCGCGUCAUAUUAUGCCGAAAGGUCGUAUGGCGAGGAAAGUCCGGGCUUCAAGGGCAGGAUAACGGAUAACGUCCGCCGAGGGUGACCUCAGGAAAAGUGCAACAGAAAUAAACCGCCGCGCAAGCGGUAAGGAUGGAAAGGCGAGGUAAGAGCUCACCAUCCCCUUGGUGACAAGGGGAGUCAUGUAAACUCUAUCCGAAGCAACGCCGUGGGAACGGGCUUUGCCCGACGGUUGCCCGCCGUAUUUUCCCUGGGCGGCAGCGCAUAGCGCAAGCCACACGGUAACGGGUGGCGCAGAUAGAUGAUCGCGACCCGAAAGGGUACAGAACCCGGCUUACAAGCUUUGUUGCUCC
rnacentral:RNase_P_RNA from 1 species